rnacentral:rRNA from 1 species
UAAAUAGUCAGACUGGCUUUGGCUGGUCGUAUCGACUUCUUAGAGGGACUGUCAGCGUCUAGCUGGCGGAAGUUUGAGGCAAUAACAGAUCCGUGAUGCCCUUAGAUGUUCUGGGCCGCACGCGCGCUACACUGACUGAGCCAGCGAGUUUUCACCCUUUGCCGGAAGGUAUG